rnacentral:rRNA from 1 species
UACGUAGGGUGCAAGCGUUAAUCGGAAUUACUGGGCGUAAAGCGUGCGCAGGCGGCUUUGCAAGACAGAUGUGGAAUCCCCGGGCUCAACCUGGGAACUGCAUUUGUGACUGCAAGGCUAGAGUACGGUAGAGGGGGAUGGAAUUCCGCGUGUAGCAGUGAAAUGCGUAGAUAUGCGGAGGAACACCGAUGGCGAAGGCAAUCCCCUGGACCUGUACUGACGCUCAUGCACGAAAGCGUGGGGAGCAAACAGG